CUUGGCGGCGAUAGCGCGGUGGUCCCACCUGACCCCAUGCCGAACUCAGAAGUGAAACGCCGUAGCGCCGAUGGUAGUGUGGGGUCUCCCCAUGCGAGAGUAGGGAACUGCCAAGC
rnacentral:rRNA from 9 species